rnacentral:rRNA from 1 species
UUGUCCGGAAUGAUUGGGCGUAAAGGGCGCGUAGGCGGCCUGCUAAGUCUGGAGUGAAAGUCCUGCUUUCAAGGUGGGAAUUGCUUUGGAUACUGGUGGGCUGGAGUGCAGGAGAGGAAAGCGGAAUUACCGGUGUAGCGGUGAAAUGCGUAGAGAUCGGUAGGAACACCAGUGGCGAAGGCGGCUUUCUGGACUGAAACUGACGCUGAGGCGCGAAAGCGUGGGGAGCAAACAGGAUUAGAUACCCUGGUAGUCCACGCGGUAAACGAUGAAUGCUAAGUGUAGGAGGUAUCGACCCCUUCUGUGCCGCAGUAAACACAAUAAGCAUUCCGCCUGGGGAGUACGGCCGAAAGGUUGAAACUCAA